GGAGGACCCAAGGUUGAGAACCACUGCCUCCAAGGCCUUUUGGUGCCUAAAGCAGAGGAGAAAGCGGCCCAAGGUGGAAGAGGAGCCUCUGCUGCCUGAGGCAGGCGCUUCAUCCAGCCCGAAGAGAGAAAGUGGUGGAGAAGGCAUUAAGAAAAAGGAACGGUGAAGAUAAGGUACCUGGAAAAUGAGCCAGAUACAAGAAAAUUUCUUACCCAAUGAAUCUACA